GGGGGGAAGUCGUGGGUCGGGCAUAUUCAUGCUCCGCUCUCGGGGGCGGCAGUUGUUAGAUUCAAGCAGGUGUGUGGCGGCGGCGGCGGCGGCGGCGCUUGUCCUCUCGCUCUGGCUGAGGCGGCGGCGCUACUCCCGGUUCACCUUCUUCUUCUCCUACUCCUCCGAGUUCUCCUUCGCGGCUUUCUACUCCGUCGCUAGGUUCAUCCGCGGAACCUCCCUCCCCUUCGUAGUAGACUGUAGGUCCGUCGCUUUGAGACUCCCUACUACCGUAACAGGGUCACUAAGGACUAAACAAUACGCCAACACCGACACCUUCAACGGAAUGGACACAAACCAGUUUAAAUCGACAAAUUAUGAUCAGACCGAUACAAGGUCCUGACUCAAAAUACAUUACACUCCUAAUAUACACAAACACUGACUUAAAAUACGUGGAUAAUAGGAACUCCAUGAG
rnacentral:rRNA from 1 species